CGGGUGCACUGAUCCGGCCGGGCCUUUCCCUCUGUGGAACCCCAUGGCCUUCACUGGCUGUGCGGGGGAAACAGGACUUUUACUGUGAAAAGAUUAGAGUGCUCCAGGCAGGCCUAUGCUCGAAUACAUUAGCAUGGAAUAAUAGAAUAGGACGCGUGGUUCUAUUUUGUUGGUUUCUAGGACCGCCGUAAUGAUUAAUAGGGACAGUCGGGGGCAUCAGUAUUCAAUUGUCAGAGGUGAAAUUCUUGGAUCUAUUGAAGACUAACUACUGCGAAAGCAUUUGCCAAGGAUGUUUUCAUUGAUAAGGAACGAAAGUUAGGGGAUCGAAGACGAUCAGAUACCGUCGUAGUCUUAACUAUAAACUAUGCCGACUAGGGAUCGGACGAUGUUAUUUCUUGACGCGUUCGGCACCUUUCGAGAAAUCAAAGUGCUUGGGCUCCAGGGGGAGUAUGGUCGCAAGGCUGAAACUUAAAGAAAUUGACGGAAGGGCACCACCAGGGGUGGAACCUGCGGCUUAAUUUGACUCAACACGGGGAAACUCACCAGGUCCAGACACAAUGAGGAUUGACAGAUUGAGAGCUCUUUCUUGAUUUUGUGGGUGGUGGUGCAUGGCCGUUCUUAGUUGGUGGAGUGAUUUGUCUGCUUAAUUGCGAUAACGAACGAGACCUUAGCCUGCUAAAUAGCCCGUACUGCUCUGGCAGUUCGCCGGCUUCUUAGAGGGACUAUCGG
rnacentral:rRNA from 1 species